rnacentral:rRNA from 1 species
UGGGGAAUUUUGGACGAAUUGGGCGAAAGCCUGAUCCAGCAAUGCCGCGUGUGUGAAGAAGGCCUUCGGGUUGUAAAGCACUUUUGUCCGGAAAGAAAUCCUUGGCUCUAAUACAGUCGGGGGAUGACGGUACCGGAAGAAUAAGCACCGGCUAACUACGUGCCAGCAGCCGCGGUAAUACGUAGGGUGCAAGCGUUAAUCGGAAUUACUGGGCGUAAAGCGUGCGCAGGCGGUUUGCUAAGACCGAUGUGAAAUCCCCGGGCUCAACCUGGGAACUGCAUUGGUGACUGGCAGGCUAGAGUAUGGCAGAGGGGGGUAGAAUUCCACGUGUAGCAGUGAAAUGCGUAGAGACGUGGAGGAAUACCGAUGGCGAAGGCAGCCCCCUGGGCCAAUACUGACGCUCAUGCACGAAAGCGUGGGGAGCAAACAGGAUUAGAUACCCUGGUAGUCCACGCCCUAAA